rnacentral:misc_RNA from 1 species
UGUAUACCUGGUCGAGCGUAAGCUUGGCCAAACCAUGUGUGAAUCAGUGUUCUCUUCCCAGUGGAAGCUCUUGCGACCCUGGGCUUAAUUGUCUGGGCGAGCUUGGGUGAAUGCUGGGGUAUUGCCUCGCAAGAGGUGAAUCAUGUUCAAUAGCAGGGAACUCAAAAGUAACAAAUUA